UCGACGGGAGCCGCGGCCUCGGGAGCCGCGGCCUCGGGAGCCGCGGCCUCGGGAGCGACGGUCGCCGCCUCCUCGUCGAGCC
rnacentral:tRNA from 1 species